CCUACGGGAGGCAGCAGUAGGGAAUAUUGCUCAAUGGGGGAAACCCUGAAGCAGCAACGCCGCGUGGAGGAUGAAGGUUCUCGGAUUGUAAACUCCUUUUGUUAGAGAAGAUAAUGACGGUAUCUAACGAAUAAGCACCGGCUAACUCCGGGCCAGCAGCCGCGGUAAUACGGGGGGUGCCAGCGUUACUCGGAAUCACUGGGCGUAAAGAGCGCGUAGGCGGGAUAGCAAGUCAGAUGUGAAAUCCUAUGGCUUAACCAUAGAACUGCAUUUGAAACUGUUAUUCUAGAGUAUGGGAGAGGUAGGUGGAAUUCGUGGUGUAGGGGUAAAAUGCGUAGAGAUCAAGAGGAAUACUCAUUGCGAAGGCGACCUGCUAGAACAUAACUGACGCUGAUGCGCGAAAGCGUGGGGAGCAAACAGGAUUAGAUACCCCUGUAGUC
rnacentral:rRNA from 1 species